UACGUAGGGUGCAAGCGUUGUCCGGAAUUAUUGGGCGUAAAGAGCUCGUAGGCGGUCUGUCGCGUCGGCUGUGAAAACUCGGGGCUCAACCCCGAGCCUGCAGUCGAUACGGGCAGACUAGAGUGCUGUAGGGGAGACUGGAAUUCCUGGUGUAGCGGUGAAAUGCGCAGAUAUCAGGAGGAACACCGGUGGCGAAGGCGGGUCUCUGGACAGUUCCUGACGCUGAGGCACGAAGGCCAGGGGAGCAGACGGG
rnacentral:rRNA from 1 species